CUCAGGAUCUGAGGCAGUACUGCCAGAUGUCUGCCAGAGAGUGGGGAAGAGAAGGGAACGGCACAGGGCCUCUCUCCAUCCCCUACCUAUUAGUGAAGAUGCGUUAUAUUAGCUGUCGACAUUAUAGUUGCACAUUGGUGACUCUAGAGAACCUCGGGCCAAUCGCACGUCCCCGUGACGGCGACUUUGCAUUCGGAUGUCUGCCCUAUCAACUUUCGAUGCCACUUUCUGCGCCUACCAUGGUGACCACGGGUAAUGGCCAGGGUUUGAUUCCGGAG